rnacentral:misc_RNA from 1 species
AUACGAAAAAACGGCCCGAAAGGGACGUUAUUUCACACCAUUGUGUACCAAACCUUUGUUGCCUCGGUGGGUUGGGCUGCGCCUACCCGGCCAGCCCCCUUAGGGAGCCGCCCACCGCAGGACCUUUCAAACCGCUUUGUUGAUGAACGUCUAAUUUAUCUUUUAAAGAAAUA